GGGGGUUUGUCCUCCGAGCUGGGGUUGUGCCCGCCGCAGGGGUCCUGAGCACCCCGCUCCCAGGGUUUGAGCACUGGUGCUAUGGGCUGCGGCUGAGGGAGAUGGGAUGGUUCGGUCUGGAGAGGAGGAGGCUCGGGGGAGAGCUCGUUGUGCUCUGCACUCUCUGAAAGGAGGCUGUGGCGAAGUGGGGGUUGGGCUUUUUUUCUCAGGUAACAGCGAUAGGAUGAGAGGGAACGGCCUCAAGUUGUGCCAGGGGAGGUUCAGGUUGGACAUUGGGAAAAAUUCUUCUCCCAAAGUGGUGAUGCAUUGGCAUCAGCAAGGAUGCCCAGUGAGGUGAUGGAGUGACUGGCCCUGGAUGUGUUCAAGAACUGUGUAGAUGUGUCACUGAGGGAUGUGGUCAGUGGGCGCUAUUGGUGGCAGGUGGAUGGUUGAACUAGAUGAUCUUCGUGGUCUUUUCCAACCUUACUGAUUCAAUGACUCACAUCGGCCUUUCUCUCUUACCAGUGGGAAGUAAGGAGGAAGAAUGCUUAGAAGAAAGGCUGAUGGCCUGUUUCCACCAGCAGUGGAGGAAAGAGUGAGGCAGGACUGGGAAGGAUAAAGCUAUUGCUGCCAGCUGGGAGCCAACAGACAGGCUGAGUUUCACGAGCAGCACUGCACCAACUGACAGAUGUCAUGCCCAGGCUGGCCUGCUUUAUGUAAUUUCUGCUCAGCAAUGUCUAGACAUACGUGGGGAUAGAGGCGUGACUGUGUUUAGAAAUGGGACCUGCUGAGUGGGAGUCCCAUGAUGUUGGAAGGCUGAACCAAUGGAAAAUGGCUUGACUUUCUUGAGAAUAAAGCAUAAAGCCCCAGGAGGAAGUAUAUCUUCUGAGGACUUCCCAGCAUCUCGGCUAAUUUUAGACAACAUAAACUGAUCCAGCUGUCAUUGCUGUCUUAACGUCUCAGGUGAUUUAUUUCUCUUUGGAGCUAGAAGAGGGAAAGUUUACCCCGAAACUGAGAAUACUAGCCCAGUGACAAGAAUCAUUGUUUUGGAAAGGAAUCACAAAACUGUAAUGCAGAGGGAAAAGGACCCUCAUGUUAGCAGAGGUAAUGUAGUAGGACCUUCGAGUUUUUUAACUUUGCAAUAAAUUGCAGCCAUAAAAAAGACUCAACUUUUAUAAUAACAGUAUACUUGUUCUUCAGAUUAUCCUUGGAACAAAUAGGGUGUUAGAGCAGACGGAGCUCGGAAUCUUCUUUAUAGUCCCAUCCCUAAAUAUGCCAGUAAAGUGGGAAGCAAGACAUCCAAAAUCUCUUCCAAAUGGCAAUAUCCAAAGGAAAUAUUUGCAGAUUGUUACUAAGUUAAUAAGCUGUAAAUAUUCCUCCUGAAUUUUAAAUUAAUUUUGCAAUCCUAGCUCCACAUUCUGAAGAUAUGGGGGACUUCUUCAGUAAAUGUAUUUGAAGUAAAGCAUCAUUAAUAUGUCAGCUUUGCAAAACAUGAUUUGUUUCACAUGGCUUCAGG
rnacentral:lncRNA from 1 species